GGAGUGGUGGCUCAGUGGAAGAGCAUCUGCUCUGUGCGCAGAAGGUCCCGGGUUCAAUCCCCGGCAUCUCCA